AGUUGGGGCCUGGUCAACAGGGGUCCAGGAGCUGAGGCCUGGUUGGUGGGCCGUCUAGCAGUUGAGGCCUGGUCAUCUGGGCCCGGCAUUUGGGGCCUGAUCGGCGGGGAUCAGAGCAGUGAGGCCUAGUCAGUGAGGUGUGGAUGUGGGGGCCUGGAUGGACGUGGAGGAAGACGUGGCUACCCUACUUGCACAGGAGCAGGGGGCAUCAUUGCCCAGUGUGAGCAGUGAGACGUAGCUGCCACCCAUCAGUGCCCUGGAAGUGAAGAGAAGACAUCAGGAGAUGAGGGACACAGAAAAAUGGCUCCAGGUGCUUCUCGACUGCCAGCGACAUAGGAGCGGCAAGGAGAGCAAGUAAUGACGCCCUCCUCCCAGACUUGCCCCAAAGCCCCCCAGAGCUUGGUGGUGUCCCAGGACGGUCCUCCCAGGAAACAUUUUGAAUAAGUUGCUGAAGUGCCUGAUGGACGUGGCUCUCGUCACGAAAUGAGUUUGGAUCCGAGAAGCCCUCUUCUUCAUCGGAAAACAGGGAAGGGUCUGCAGAGGGGCCUGGAAUGGGGAGGUUUGGGGGC
ensembl:lncRNA LINC00661 long intergenic non-protein coding RNA 661